rnacentral:rRNA from 1 species
UACGUAGGGGUCGAGCGUUGUCCGGACUUACUGGGCGUAAAGCGUGGGUAGGUGGCCGAUGAUGUGCCGUGUGAAAGCGCCGCGCUUCUCGCGGCGAGGUCGCGGUAGACACAUCGGCUCGAGGCACGGAGAGGGCGUAGAAUUCCCGGUGUAGUGGUGAAAUGCGUAGAUAUCGGGAGGAACACCUGUGGCGAAGGCGGCCGACUGGGCCGACCCUGACGCUGAGGCGCGAAGGCGUGGGGAGCGAACGGG